CGAAAACCCUCUCCCUUCCUCGUCUUUCUUCUCGCCACUUCUCACUUUCUCUCGACGCUAACUAGCGUCACUUGCAAGCGGCGAAACAACUAAGAGCAGCCAAGAAAAAGAGAUAAACAGAUACAGAGCAAAUAAUCAGAAUUCUAAGUCCUACAUGGAUCCAGACGCGGUGGCCAAGGCGUUUGUCGAGCACUACUACACCACUUUCGAUGCGAAUCGGGCGGGUUUGGCCAAUCUCUACCAAGACGGAUCGAUGCUCACCUUCGAGGGGCAGAAGAUCCAGGGCGCCCAAAACAUCGUCGCUAAGCUUACUAGCCUUCCCUUCCAGCAGUGCCAGCACAGCAUCACCACCGUCGAUUGUCAGCCCUCGGGCCCUGCCGGUGGCAUGCUCGUCUUUGUCUCCGGCAACCUCCAGCUCACCGGCGAACAACAUGCUCUCAAGUUCAGCCAGAUGUUCCAUUUGAUGCCAACGCCACAGGGGAGCUUUUACGUGUUCAAUGACAUUUUCCGGUUGAACUAUGCAUGAAGACAAAGAUCAACCACUCAAGUCUUUGUGGUUCAAAUGUUCAGGGUUAAACAACUUUGCUUAUCUCAGUCUGGCUUUAGACGUUUUAUAUUUAAACUGCGAU
rnacentral:misc_RNA from 1 species